CCUGUAUAAAUUAAACUACAUCUCCUGAUUGCAACUCAGACACUUUAAUUAAGCUAAGACCUCACCU
rnacentral:tRNA from 2 species